AGAGUUCGAUCCUGGCUCAGAACGAACGCUGGCGGCGUGCUUAAUACAUGCAAGUUGUGCGAGAAAGUGUUCUUCGGAAUGCGAGUAAAGCGGCGAACGGGUGAGUAACACGUAAGGAAUCUUCCUCUAAAUUUGGGAUAACUUUGCUAACGCGAGGCUAAUACCGGAUGUGGUUCUGUUAUCACAUGAUAGUAGAAUUAAAGGUGACCUCUUCUUGAAAGUUACUGUUUAGAGAUGAUCUUGCGGACCAUUAGCUUGUUGGCGGGGUAACGGCCCACCAAGGCUAUGAUGGUUAGCCGGCCUGAGAGGGUGAACGGCCACAUUGGGACUGAGAUACGGCCCAGACUCCUACGGGAGGCAGCAGUAGGGAAUUUUGCGCAAUGGACGAAAGUCUGACGCAGCAACGCCGCGUGAGCGAUGAAGGUCUUCGGAUUGUAAAGCUCUGUUGAGUGGGAAGAAAAAUCUAGUAGCUAAUAUCUGCUAGACAUGACGGUACCACUCGAGGAAGCCCCGGCUAAAUACGUGCCAGCAGCCGCGGUAAUACGUAUGGGGCAAGCGUUGUUCGGAAUCACUGGGUGUAAAGGGAGCGUAGGCGGAAAUGUAAGUUAGAGGUGUAAUCUUUAGGCUUAACCUGAAGUUUGCCUUUAAAACUGUGUUUCUUGAGUAUUGGAGAGGAAGACGGAAUUCCAGGUGUAGCGGUGGAAUGCGUAGAUAUCUGGAAGAACACCAGUUGCGAAGGCGGUCUUCUGGCCAAAUACUGACGCUGAGGCUCGAAAGCUAAGGGAGCGAACAGGAUUAGAUACCCUGGUAGUCUUAGCCGUAAACGAUGGACACUAGAUGUUGGGAGAAUCUUUUUCUCUCAGUGUCGUAGCUAACGCGUUAAGUGUCCCACCUGGGGAGUACGCCCGCAAGGGUGAAACUCAAAGGAAUUGACGGGGGCCCGCACAAGCGGUGGAGCAUGUGCUUUAAUUCGAUGCAACGCGAAGAACCUUACCUGGACUUGACAUGGGAGUGAAAGCCUCUAGAGAUAGAGGACCUUCCUUCGGGAACACUCUGCACAGGUGCUGCAUGGUUGUCGUCAGCUCGUGUCGUGAGAUGUUGGGUUAAGUCCCGCAACGAGCGCAACCCUCGUCCUUAGUUGCCAUCAGGUUAAGCUGGGAACUCUAAGGAGACUGCCUGGUAUAACCAGGAGGAAGGUGGGGAUGACGUCAAAUCCUCAUGGCCCUUACGUCCAGGGCUAGACACGUGCUACAAUGGCCGGUACAAUAGGAUGCGAGACGGUGACGUUCAGCUAAUCCUCAAAACCGGUCUCAGUUCGGAUUGGAGUCUGCAAUUCGACUCCACGAAGUUGGAAUCGCUAGUAAUCGUGGAUCAGCAUGCCACGGUGAAUAUGUUCCCGGGCCUUGUACACACCGCCCGUCAAGCCACGAAAGAUGGUAGUGCCCGAAGUCGCUUCUCUAACCGCAAGGAGGAGGGCGCCGAAGGUAAGACUAUUAAUUGGAGCUAAGUCGUAACAAGGUA
rnacentral:rRNA from 1 species